GGAAGGAUCAUUACAAAAAAAAAACAACACAAAAAAUUUCAAUAUUUUUUCAAAAAAUAUGAACAAAUGAAUUCACAACAAAGAAAGCGCGUUUAAUUCGAAAGAACAAAAAAUCGUUUUUUACAAACAAAAAAAUUAUACAACUCUAUGCAACGGAUGACUUGGUUUCAUGUUGGUUGAAGAGCGCAGCAAAGUGCGAUAAUUGAUGUGAAAUGCAAAACUUAUGAAUCAUCAAAAUCUUGAACGCAAAUGGCGAGUUUCUGAAAGGAACUCAAGAAAAAAAGAGAGGGGAUAAAAAAAGAAAUUCAAUGAGACACGUGUGCGUAACACCGUCUUGAAAUGUAGUAAGGAUUUGGAGCAAAUAUGCGAGGCUUGUGCCAAACAAUGCAUGCAUGAGGAAAAAGAUAGCAAUAUUUAAUUUUCUUCUGCGCGUCGUUUUUGUGCACCUGACUCGUUGUACAAGAAUCCUCUUCAAAACUCUCCCCCUCUUUCUUUUCUUCAUUACCCGCUGAAUUUAAGCAUAUUAUUAAGCGGAGGAAAAGAAAAUAAACAUGAUACCUCUAGUAGUGGCGAACGAAGAAGGUACAGAUCAAAGGAAAAGGGUUUGGCGACAAUACAGACGUCAGACCGAUGCUCCUUUCGAGGAAGUGGCAAGGUGGGGCUGAAGGAACCGAAAGUCAGUUGGAAAGCUGCAGCAUAGAGGGUGAAACUCCCUUGUCGGUACCUUUCAAUCGGCUCCCGAAUCUCUGCUUCCUUUAGAGUCACGUUGAUUGUGAUUUCAGCGUAAAGCAGGAGGUAAAUUUCUCCUAAAUCUGAAUAUGACAUGAAGACCGAUAGCGGAAAAGUACUGCGAAGGAAAGUUGAAAAGAAUGCCGAAAGGCAAGUUAAAAGAACCUGAAAUUGCAUAGAGGGAACCGAAUGGGAGGAGGAGGAGCGCAGCUGUGGUUCACUGCAGUUGCGCGAAAAAGGGCGAUGUGCUUUGCGGGAGAAGAAAGCGUCUUACAGGGGGGCCACACACACGUGGCUUGCGCUCUGGAGGCUGCGGAACUGCUCGCGUGCAUCGAGGAAUACGGCCUCAAUCGGUGCUCUGGGCGCGCUGCGGUGGCGGAAGUUGCGGGACAAUUGCAUUGUCCCGUGAUUAUUCGCUGCUGCAGACGUGUUCAACAAUCACUGGGGCCAGCUCUUUUAAAAUUCUCCUCUCUUCAUCCCGUCUUGAAACACGGAUCAAGGAGUCUUGCAGUAUGAAGAGUAUUUUGGUGUCAAACCAUGAUGCGUAAUGAAAGUAAACAGGGUAGAGGGCGCCGCGAAAGGGCACCUGCAUUCCCAGCGGGAAUUUGAUUUUUUUGAAGAUUCUCAGCAAAAUUCGUACUGUUAGUACCCGAAAGAUGAUGAGCUAUGCCAGAAUCGGGUGAAGCCUCAUGAAAAUGAGGUGGAGGUCCGACAUCGUGCUGACGUGCAAAUCGCUGGUUGAAUUUUGGUAUAGGGGCGAAAUACUUAUCGAAUCAUUUAGUUGCUGGUUCUUU
rnacentral:misc_RNA from 1 species